GAUCACUGCCAGUGAGGGAAUAGCGAAGGGAAUGUCGGGAGGGGAGGGAGAUGGCUAACGCAGAUGUAUAGGAUUAUUCUCCCCAUCCCAACUGCUGAGCUGCACCCACACAUAAGCCCCUGCUUGUUGGUCUUUGGUCAUGAUCUGAAUCUUAGUGAAGGGAAGGGUUUACCAUGCAAACCAACCAGUACUUCUUAGCGGGAUGGGUUCGGAAGCUCCUGUAUCAGAAGCAAGGGCCAGACACUGGCUCAAAGCCGGACCUACAGCGUUAUGAACCCAGACCAACGCUGACUCUCUCCCCUGAAGGCACAGGCUUAAGGGACUGACUUAAGAUCAGCUUUGAUAACAGAGCCAACACUGAAACCCAACUGGGCCUACUCUGUGCCAUCUGUCCUUGUUAACAAGCAGCUAAUCCUCCCUUACAAGGUUACCUUAAACAGUGAGGCGGUAGGCCUUCUGACCAGUCUGUUGCCAAUUGCCUUAGGUGGGAACUAAGUUUAUUGCAGUUCACACAGUGUAGGCUGCUUUGGGAAAAUAGAUGUACCACAGAGCACUGCCUAUGUCUUUCCUCAGCCCACU